GUCGAACCCGGGCCGCACGCAUGCCAGAAGGAACACCAACCGCCCCAACACCAACCACCAACCACCGAACACCAACCGCCCGAGGCCGCUAACAGUUCUACCUUCUAGGGCUUCGCUCACCUUCCAGAACGGUUCCGUCUUUGUUGGCGAGACAAGGCUUCCUCAUGAGGUUGGUUUGUCUUCAUGGUUGAGGAAAAAAAGCUGAGGAAAGAGGAGGAACUUGAUAUGUCUAGGUAGUAGCUGUUCCCUGGGACUACCUGACACCUUAGAAAGCUUCCUAGGUCAUCAUUUUUUGCACAAGAGUGCUGCAGCAAGACCACAGAGAUGUGAGAUCCCAGGGCCACUGUUGCCAGCAGAGUGCCCUUAUCCCCCAGUGAAUGGGGCACCCUUCUUGUCGGCCUGAAAAAUGCGUCCUCAGUUAGGGAUACCUGGCACAGCUUUGAUUAGGGGGGGAAAUUUUGACUCUGCUUCGGGAUGGAGUGAAAUGAUUCUCUCAACCCAAGGUAGAAGGUUACCUUUUUUGUCACUGUUACCAAAACACCCAACAAGAACGACUUAGAGAAGGAAAAAUUUACUUGGAACUCAAAAUUUCAAAUGUCUAAGUCCACAGAUAGCUGACUCCAUUACUCCUGGUUCCAGGUAUAGAAGUUUAGGAUUGUACAUUUGUACAGAGUGCAUGGAUCAUGGACUAUGUAAUGAGUUCAGGAAGAAAAGCCAGGUGAAGAUUUUGGCAUAGGGGUGAAGACUUCUUCAGCACACAAAGUCACAUCAUCUCCAUUGAUUCAAGAAGACCAAAUUGGCCUGUCAAAUGAGAAAACAGACACUAGCAUCAAGUCCUUCUUAAUUAGCUAGGUGGAGGCUUCAUCUGGGAGAGGCAGGAUUGAGCCAACAGACCAGGCAGCCUGCGGAGUCUAAUGGGUCGCCUCCAUCAGGUCAUCCAUCCUGGGUGACAGGCUCACUGGUCCUUCACAGCCAGGGCCAGCCAUUGGCAAGGAGCUGUGGGGAUCAGCGAGGCUGCAUCCUGUCCCUGGCGUCCCAGCUCACCUGCUGGCCCUGGGGGGCCCCCAGAGGGCUCAGGAGAGCAGGCCGCAUGUACUUUUAUAGUAAAUAGUAAACUGUUCAAUUUACUUGCUUUAAAGACAAGUAAUGGCUCUGGAGGCAGAGACUUAAGGAUCAAGUUCAAAGCCAUCUUCAGCAACAGCCAAACAACUCAGCUAGGAUUUACCUCUAAAUAAAAUACAAAAUGGAGCUGGGGAUGUGUCUCUGUGCCCCUGAGUUCAAUCCCCAGAGAGAAGUAAAAAGCAGGAAAAUCCAAAAUGACAGCCAAAUACUGAAAUUCUGGUAAACAGAAAUACUUAAAACUUGAAGUCAUCAAGCUCUGCCUCCAGCAAAUUGGGAGCUUUUGGAAGCAGGAAUAUCAGAUUCCAGGUCUAGGAAACAACUAAAAGAGAACCUGACUCAAAAUUAAAAUAUUAAGAGGGGGUGGGUGGGGACAGAGCCCAAUAGAGUGCCCCAGUUCAAUCCCCAGUCUACUGCCCUGCCCCUCAAAAAACCUUACAGUAAUGGAGAUACUGUAGCUCUGGAGAAAAGAUUUUGGACUUCAUAAAAAUUUUAAAAAUUUAGUGGGGCACAGUAGCUCACGCAACUGGGGAGACCCUUUCUCAAAAGUAGGCCCAGUGGAGCGCCCCUGAGUUGAAUCCCCAGUACCAAAAAACAAAUAAAAUUUAAAGGAGCAGGGCACACUGUCCCAGGCUUGUAAAUCCCAGUGGCUGGGGAGGCUGAGUCAGUCUCAGCAAUUUAGGGAGACUAUGAGACUCUGUCUCAAAAAUAAA